UGAACAUUCAUGACCAGACAAAAGAUAGACAACUCAGCCCACCAAACUAAACAGUUCAACUACCAUGAAAGAUUAGAAUGUAAUAAUCCCCUAGACUUGACCCUCCCUAUUUAACAUCAUUAUUAAGCAGUGGUUCCUUUAUUUAAAAGUGUGGUGGUCGUGCUGCUACAUCCCUUCUUUCCCAAAGCAAAGAUCAGGUGCCUGCAUCAGACAACGCAAGAGUGAGAUGACACAUCUCAGCAAGUAAAAAAACAAACAACAGUUGGACAAUGUAAGCCAACCGUGCAUAAGCAACCACGUGGUUCCCAACUUCUUUCUUAAAUAUUAAUUUGCAGCAAGUAAGCAAGUAUUCAAUUACUCAAUGCCAAGAUGAAUCACAAAGUAAAGAUCCACAUUAUCCACAUCACCAUAAUAGGUUCCACACUUCCCCCAUGAAUGCACAUGGCUACAGAUGCAGUAUGACUUCUGCCUUCAUACCUCUAAAGAUAUGAAGCUGCAUCAUACCCCUUCUUGGGCAACAUAUGAUGCUCAUUGUACAGGUACGGUCGGACCAUAAGAUCAUGACAAAACUUCAAUGCAAUGGAUGAUGAAUGCAUUAUGCAUGUCAACAACAUGAGUUCUUCCCAAAUAAAAUGUGCUAGACAUAUACUUCCACCUAUUUCACAUAAUAAACCACAUGGGUAACAUGAUCAAACCACAACCUCCACAUGUAUAAUAAAUAAACAUGAUUAACUUCAAACGACAGUACCCAAUUAGGAAUAUGAAUACGAACACAAAUAGCACAAACAUAAUCAAGUAUAAGACUCUUCAAUUAACAGACGGAAUAACCAUCACUGUUUUACUUGCCUUCACCGGAAGUUUGGGCAAAUCCCUAAGUACGAUCCGGAAGUCCACCACCUGUUUUUGACACACAACUUAGUGCACCAAUUUCACACAAUCAGGCUCAUAAACGACGCCGCACCUACGCAAAAUCUCAAACCCCGCCGCGGAUAACAUCUCUCCCCACACCCACCAAACUGCAGCGGCGCUGCUUAAUAAUUUCAUAACUUUAAAAUUAUGACAACACUGGUAACAAACAAAAACUCCAGAGGCAUCUACAUAAAAUUCCCCACAAGUUUUGUAUACAAUUUAUAAUUAAAUUCCAACAUAUAAUUAGCCCAAAACAGUACACAAGAUAAACCCUGUAAUCUGUUUUUUUCUCUUUUGGACAGCGACAUACCCGGAUUCAAACAGCGAUAUCUUUUAAAAUAUAAUUUCAAAUCAAGCGCAUAAGUACUCAUUGAAAAGAUAAGACAAAACCCUACAUAAUUAUCAUACUGGUUAUCAUUAAUUACCCACGAAAAAUUUCCAGAAACUGCUAAUACUACUGUUGUUCACCCACCUGAAAAAUCUGUUUUUUGGACAGCAACAUACCCCGAUUCAAACAGCGAUAUCUUUUAAAAUAUAAUUUCAAAUCAAGCGCAUAAGUACUCAUUGGAAAGAUAAGACAAAUCCCUACAUGACUAUCAUACUGGUUAUCACUAAUUACCCACGAAAAAUGCCCAGAAACUGCUAAUACUACUCCUGUUCACCCACCUGAAAAAUCUGUUUUUUAGACAGCAACAUACCCGGAUUCAAUCAGCGAUAUCUUUUAAAAUAUAAUUCCAAAUCAAGCGCAUAAGUACUCAUUGGAAAGAUAAGACAAAGCCCUACAUGAUUAUCAUACUGGUUAUCACUAAUUACCCACGAAAAAUUCCCAGAAACUGCUAAUUCUACUGCUGUUCACCCACCUGAAAAAUCUGUUUUUUUUUUGGACAGCAACAUACCCGGAUUCAAACAACGAUAUCUCCUAAAUUAUAACUCCGAAUCGAGGGAAUAAGUACUCGUUGGAAAGGUAUGACAAAGCUCUACAUGAUUAUCCCACUGAUUCCCACUAAUUAACCCACAAAAAUUCCCAGAAAUCCCUAGAACUACUGCUAUCCACCCACUCACAAAAAUCCUGGACAGCACCUCUACCGAUUCGCAAAGAUAAACGCAUAAUCCAAUUGAUUGCAGCACAAAAACAACAAAAGUUAAACACAAAUUCACCUUGGGUUCUUCCCUUCCUCCUUCCUUCUUCCUCCCUCCAAACUCCAUUGAGAUCGCAGCCACACGACGGAGAACCACGCGGGAGGGCUGCACCUUGGAGGGGGGAAGAGAAAUGGGGGAGGGCAGCUAGGGUUUUGGAUGGUGAGGGCUGCAAAGGUUUGAGGAGGAAGAAGAUGGGAGAGGGGAGGGGGUGG
rnacentral:lncRNA from 1 species